CUCGUCCACUCUUUCGCUCACUCACCCACUCUUCGUCUCGCUCAGCCGAAUCCCUCGCUUGCGUCGCCGGCGCCUCUCCCCAGCUCGCGUCGCCGGAGCCUCUCCCUCGCCCGCGUCGCCGGCACCUCUCCAUUGGCUCCGUCGCCGUCGCCAAGAUCAAAUUUUUAUUCUUCGGUGGCUGAUUUCGAGUGCGUCGGCUCGAUCUGCAAUGGCUUUCCUCCACUCCAACGCCGUGCGGACGACGCCAUGGAAGGGCCACCAUGACCAGGAGCAGGACGACGCCUUGGAAGGUUCACCGACAGCAGCAGCUACGGUCUGGUCUUCUCCACUGACAGGUAUAUGGACAUGGAGGUCCGCCAUGGAAGGCCUGGAGCUCGUCAUGGAGGGUCCCUCCUCUCUCUUCCCCUCCCUCCACUCUGUUGGUUGGUUGGACGGAAGACCACCACUCGUCCGGCUCUGCUUCUUCCACCGUUGCUCCCCUCCCACCAUUGUGCCAGAGACGCUGUGCCAAGCACGGAAGCUCAUGUGUCGUUUGUCAAGGAAAUCGCUGUGAUUGAUCCCCCGGAGCAUCUUAUCUUUUUGUUGAAUGUGCUUCAGGCAUGAGGCAUGACUUCACAUAUCUAAGUAAGAGUUUUCAUUUCCAAUGAUUCUUCAGUCGUGCCAACAGACCCUUUGUCAUGCAAGUUGAAAUAAUCUAAUAAUUAUUACAAUUUUAGAUUAGAGAAGAGAAAGAUCCAGAGAUUUUCAUACCUAGAGGAACUCGCCUUCUUGAUGCUCCUUGCUUACAUGAGGUAGUCCUCGGGAAUUUUUCCUCCAGGUCUGGCUAUUUUGAUCCUUUGCUAUAUGUGAUGGGAGAAGGGAGAGCAGGGAGGGGGGAGGGAUAGCAGAGGACGUUAGCAUAGGCAGGCCAUGGGGAGGACAACUGGGCAUCAAAUCAUAGCUUUUUCCAGUUAUAUCAUAUAUUGCUGUAUGGAGCAGCUAUCCUUCCUUUUUCCAUCAAAAAGAUGUCAAAGAUCAGAACUUACUAAAACAUUAAAUUAUCAUAUUAAUUAAAUGAAGAACUUAUCAUCGCUUAUAUGCCAAUUGCCAAGAUUAGUUACCACAAUAAGAAAUUCACGGCGUACACACUAACAUCUCUACUAUUAAAGUGGUAAUGGUGAACAGAUAACAAAGUUUUUUGUUCACUUAUUUCUCACUGAAAAAUAAUGCUUUGGUCUUUCCUGUUAAUUAUUUGGUCGACAUGCACUUUUUUUCCGGUGCUUAGCUCUUCUUGUAUGCUUUAAUAGUUUGUACAAAUACUAAAUUCCAUAUAUUGGAAGUUAUGUACAGUCUCGAUACACUAUUUGCAGGUCUAACAUCUGGGAGUUCGAACAAGUUGGAUGAAUUUCUCCAUUCCAGUUUCUCUAUGUUGACCCAAUGCCAAAGGCAGUAACCAGUAAAUAACUUACGGCGACAGUACAAUACAUAUAUGUACAGAUCAGAAGAGAUGAAUCGGCUUCCACCGGAUCCUUAGCUGGCGUAGCCUCAACUGCUUGCUCAGGACGGUUUCUUAGGAUGACGUGGAGCCUCCCGCGGCAGUAGUCCCCUGAUCUCCCCCCCCCCCCCCUGACCCGGAGCACUGGAGGAGGACCAUGGCAGCGGUGAGACCCAACCCGUCGCGGCGCCUAGCGAGCAGGCGCACGGGCACACCAGUAAAGCACAGCACGGCGGCGGUCGUGUCCUCCAUCUCGAUGCUUCAGCCGGCCGUCACCACACGGUCACACAACGACAUGCACUGUAUGAUAACCUAUCGAUUCCGCCGCCCCCGAAUCUCACGACGUCGAGGUGGCCAUGUGAGGGCUCGCCGGAGUGGUUUAGGAGAGGAUCAGGGGGGUGUGGAGAUCUGGGUGGAGGUGGUUCGGGAGAGGAUGGAGACCGUGAAAGGAAACCAAAAUCAUAGGUGAUUUUCUCCCUUUUUUCCAUGCGGAAGACAGGUGGAGUCAAACGUUUUAUUUGGAAAAAAAUCGGUGGGGGAUGUCGAUCGAUGCGAGGGGUUGCGUGCGAGCGAACGAACGAACGACUUACGGACUCUUUCAUUAGGAGUAGAGAUUAGGGAAAGAUGAAAAAUAUUCCUAUUGUCAUUUUGAGAAAAACUAGAGAGGGAAUGAUGUGUGUGAGAGAGAUGAGUCACUUGGGUGGAAAUAAAGGAUAUGCCCAAGUGAUUAAGUCGAACUGAGAUGAUUCAAAACCUCAAAUUCAAAUCAAAUGGCAAAGAAAUGCAAAAAAGAAGGAGGGCAAAAACCAGCAAAAACCAGGGUGUUACAAAGACCAAAGAGGGGAUGCCACCUGGGGCAUCCCCAAGUUUAGAUGCUUGGUUGUCCUUGAAUAUUACCUUGGGGUUCCUUGGGCAUC